GACGAACGCUGGCGGCGUGCUUAACACAUGCAAGUCGAACGAGUGGCGAACGGGUGAGUAAUGCGUGACUAACCUGCCGUAUGGUUGGGGAUAGCUCCUGGAAACGGGUGGUAAUACCCAAUGCUGAAAGGUGCCAUAUGAUGGGGUCGCGUCCUAUCAGCUUGUUGGUGGGGUGAUGGCCUACCAAGGCGUCGACGGGUAGCCGGCCUAAGAGGGCGACCGGCCACAUUGGGACUGAGAUACGGCCCAGACUCCUACGGGAGGCAGCAGUGGGGAAUAUUGCACAAUGGGCGCAAGCCUGAUGCAGCGACGCCGCGUGCGGGAUGGAGGCCUUCGGGUUGUAAACCGCUUUUAUAGGGGGGCAUGAGUGGACUUUAUGAAUAAGCACCGGCUAACUACGUGCCAGCAGCCGCGGUAAUACGUAGGGUGCAAGCGUUGUCCGGAUUUAUUGGGCGUAAAGGGCUCGUAGGCGGUUUGUUGCGUCUGGUGUGAAAGCUUACUGCUUAACGGUAGGUUGCGCUGGAUACGGGCAGGCUUGAGUGCAGUAGGGGAGACUGGAAUUCUCGGUGUAACGGUGGAAUGUGUAGAUAUCGGGAAGAACACCUAUGGCGAAGGCAGGUCUCUGGGCUGACUGACGCUGAGGAGCGAAAGCGUGGGGAGCGAACAGGAUUAGAUACCCUGGUAGUCCAUGCUGUAAACGGUGGACGCUGGAUGUGGGGCGUUCUGUGUCGGAGCUAACGCGUUAAGCGUCCCGCCUGGGGAGUACGGCCGCAAGGUUAAAACUCAAAGAAAUUGACGGGGGCCCGCACAAGCGGCGGAGCAUGCGGAUUAAUUCGAUGCAACGCGAAGAACCUUACCAGGGCUUGACAUAUACAGGUGGUGCAUGGUCGUCGUCAGCUCGUGUCGUGAGAUGUUGGGUUAAGUCCCGCAACGAGCGCAACCCUUGCCUUGUGUUACCAGCGGCCGGGGACUCACAAGGGACCGCCGGGGUUAACUCGGAGGAAGGUGGGGAUGACGUCAGAUCAUCAUGCCCCUUACGUCCUGGGCUUCACGCAUGCUACAAUGGCUGGCAGCGGGAUGCGAUACUGUAAGGUGGAGCGGAUCCUGUCCGGUCUCAGUUCGGACGGGGCCUGCAACUCGGCCUCGGAAGGUGGAGUCGCUAGUAAUCGCGGAUCAGCAGUGCCGCGGUGAAUGCGUUCCCGGGCCUUGUACACACCGCCCGUCAAGUCAUGAAAGUGGGCAGCACCCGAAGCCGGUGCCUAGGGAGCCGUCUAAGGUGAGGUUCGCGAUUGG
rnacentral:rRNA from 2 species